UGGGGAAUUUUGCACAAUGGGCGCAAGCCUGAUGCAGCCAUGCCGCGUGUAUGAAGAAGGCCUUCGGGUUGUAAAGUACUUUCAGCGGGGAGGAAGGGAGUAAAGUUAAUACCUUUGCUCAUUGACGUUACCCGCAGAAGAAGCACCGGCUAACUCCGUGCCAGCAGCCGCGGUAAUACGGAGGGUGCAAGCGUUAAUCGGAAUUACUGGGCGUAAAGCGCACGCAGGCGGUUUGUUAAGUCAGAUGUGAAAUCCCCGGGCUCAACCUGGGAACUGCAUCUGAUACUGGCAAGCUUGAGUCUCGUAGAGGGGGGUAGAAUUCCAGGUGUAGCGGUGAAAUGCGUAGAGAUCUGGAGGAAUACCGGUGGCGAAGGCGGCCCCCUGGACGAAGACUGACGCUCAGGUGCGAAAGCGUGGGGAGCAAACA
rnacentral:rRNA from 1 species